GCAAAUGCAUACGAAGCAGCAUCCGUAUUGAUAUGGAGAUGGGCUGGAAUCCUGACGCUCCUCAUCUCAAUCUCUGAAUUUCUUAGGAUUAUCUGCUCUCUAAACUCGCCUGCGCUCUGUUCAAAUUAUCGCCACCCAAAGUAUCACAGGGUGAUGUACGCCUGAGAUUGACUGGAUGAGAUUAGUUGUCGGUUAAUACUCAAGCAGGUGACUACCUAGAAGGGGAUAAGAAUUAGCCUGACCGGCAGAGAUACGUUUUUGAUUAAAGUGCUGUACAGAAGCUCAGUGCAUGGGCUUUGUGUUUUGCAAGAGCCAAUAUGAUCUUCUGGGAGAUCUCUUUUACGGGAUGCUCAGCUAGUGUGAUGGAGUAAAUUAGCAAGAUUGCAGGAGAUCGGCCUAUCUAUUCAUGCCCAAAACCCAUGGCUUGGUGAGCCUCAUACCGUGGAGCAGUGCCUGGGUGACCUGCGAGGUGAAUGGGAAUGUCUGCUAUGGAGCCUUUGGCAUGUUACGCGUGCAAUCGUCUGUCCGGGCAGACACUCGUUUUGGCAGCCGCCGCGGGAUAGACAUCCACACUGACACCACACAACAAUAGGAUUAGGAACUAAACUUAGGGUGUAAGAUGGCAAUAUAGAACGUAAGUACAAAUUUAAUAAACUCAUUUACUCUUUUGUUGCAUGUAAAAUUGCUGCUUUUAUAUUGAUACGGAAUGACUCGAGUAUACAUUAUGUGGUUUUCCUCUUUCGAACCGUCUGGUGGAUUUUGUAAGUGGG